rnacentral:rRNA from 1 species
CCCGCUGAACUUAAGCAUAUCAAUAAGCGGAGGAAAAGAAACUAACAAGGAUUCCCCUAGUAACUGCGAGUGAAGCGGGAAAAGCUCAAAUUUAAAAUCUGGUAGUCUUUGGCUGCCCGAGUUGGAAUCUAGAGAAGUGUUAUCCGCGCUGGACCGCGUACAAGUCUCCUGGAAUGGAGCGUCAUACAGGGUGAGAAUCCCGUCUUUGACACGCACAACCGAUGCUUUUGUGAUGCGCUCUCGAAGAGACGAGUUGUUUGGGAUCGCAGCUCAAAAUGGGUGGUGAAUUCCAUCUAGAGCUAAAUAUUGGCGAGAGACCGAUAGCGAACAAGUACCGUGAGGGAAAGAUGAAAAGCACUUUGUAAAGAGAGAUAAACAGUACGUGAAAUUGUUGAGAGGGAAACGUUUGAAGUCAGUCGCGUCGGCCGAGACUCAACCUUGCUUUCGCUAGGGGCACUUCUCGGUUGACGGGUCAGCAUCAAUUUCGCCCCCCGGAUAAAGGUCGGGGGAAUGUGGCAUCCUUCGGGAUGUGUUAUAGACCUCGAUUCGGAUACGGCGAUUGGGAUUGAGGAACUCGGCGCUCUGCGUCCAGGAUGCUGGCAUAAUGGCUUUAAGCGACCCGUCUUGAAACACGG